ACCCUGGCCAGGAUAUCAUCAUAUACUGUAAGUUUGCAAUGAGACACUACAGUAUAGAUGAUGUACUGGACGGGCCGC
rnacentral:pre_miRNA from 1 species